rnacentral:tRNA from 1 species
GCUUUGAUAGUUUAACUAAAAACUUCGGUCUUGUAAACCGAGAAUGAAAUUUUUUUCUCAAAACA